GCUAACUACGUGCCAGCAGCCGCGGUAAUACGUAGGUGGCAAGCGUUAUCCGGAAUUAUUGGGCGUAAAGCGCGCGUAGGCGGUUUUUUAAGUCUGAUGUGAAAGCCCACGGCUCAACCGUGGAGGGUCAUUGGAAACUGGAAAACUUGAGUGCAGAAGAGGAAAGUGGAAUUCCAUGUGUAGCGGUGAAAUGCGCAGAGAUAUGGAGGAACACCAGUGGCGAAGGCGACUUUCUGGUCUGUAACUGACGCUGAUGUGCGAAAGCGUGGGGAUCAAACAGGAUUAGAUACCCU
rnacentral:rRNA from 1 species